UGAAGCUAUUUCGUGUAGUCUUCAAAGGAUUUCAAAAAAGUUUUUGCUUGAUGUCAAAGAUGAAUAAUUUGAACAUAUACUAAUUUUUCCAAUAAUUAAACUAUUAAAGCAAGGAAAUGGUACAUAUGUUCACCCUCAAAAAAUGAGACAUAGGUUCAUCCUUCAUACAACCACAACUUGAAGGCUGCAGAGCGAGGCGGCAAAACCUGUAAGAUGCAGCCAUGUGAAACACGAUAGAACUGCCACCACAAGAUCAAUCAAGCAUCAUUGAGAGAGAAAAAUCCUUGACCAUCAUUAACAUUUGUCAACGAAUCCAACUCCACUUCUACUGAUGAUAACCAAAGAACCUUCCUUGCCAAACGAAAAUGAUUAGAUUGUUAUAACAGUAAUAUUUUGAUCCCGAGGACCCAAAUUCAGAGCUAUGCGAUUAUGUUUGUGCAAAACCGUUAACACAACAUAAAACCAAAACUGAGAAACUCCUAUGCCAAACCAUUACAUCCUAAACUACUAUAUGUCAGCAUAUAACAUAUUCAUUCGGAUUCGAUGCCUUGUACGUGCCAGGUUAUGGAUACUGGUAUUUGCUUAGAUUACGCGGUACACUUCUAGAAAGCAAUAUUUCCUAGAAGAAGCAGAUGACUCUGAACCUUUCACUUGCAGACCAGGAACACACGUACAUGAGUCUGCUCAAAGCAUAUCUGCACAUGUUGGUAUUCAACCAAGUAAUUAAGUAAAAUAAUUUUGUUCUUUGAAAAAAGUAAGAUAAGCUUUGCUCGUCUAAGUUAAAUGGUUAACAGAGGAUCAAACCUGUCCUAGAACGAUCAAAUUUCGACAAAACAAAAACCUUAAAGAAGACAUACAUGCAUAUUAUAGAGAAGACUAACUAAUAGCACGUAGAACGGAUAUCUAGGAAGUAGAUAGGUUAUCUAUGCUGGUGGUUUGUAGGGUCGUACUGAGGUCGAUGAAGAGCCUGGUGAAUGACAGCUAGAAGAUUGGGCAUGACUAUGGAGAUGAAUAGGUGAGAGGCAUCGCCAGCCCCUGGAGAAUCACUGGCCCGCGCUGUCCGCUGACACAACGGCCCCGAAUCACUGUAGAAACUGUAUUGAGGAACUGAACAUGAAGAGUUGCUCCGCAUGAACCAACUGAUCACCUUCUUCUCCACUGGAUGUUCCAUCGUGUAUUGGUUGGAGUGUGAUCUGGCAUGUAAGCUAAGGAGAUUGAAAGAAGAAGACAAUUAUUCAGUAACUUCUUAUGCAAUAAGGAGGAACCGAAAAGAAAAUUCAAGUAGUUAUAGACAAACUUGACCGUGAACUUGGUUAUACUUACGUGCGGGAGCUCUCAAUCGAGCCAUGCACAUAUUGUGUAUUUGCCGGAUUGAUCCAGGAGCCUGUUUGUAGAUGCGGAGAAACACGCGGCCACCGUCAGGCGCUACACUCCUGCCUCGCGUGUAUUUCAUCAUAUACCCGUCAUAUGCUCAAUAAUCUAUAGAUGAAAAAAAUUGAUUGUCGAUGUUUGGAGACCAAAAGGACAGCCUACACGAAUAUGAUCAUGCCAAGGGUGGAAUUAAUUAGUAUUAUCUAGCUAUGCUUUUCCAGUCCAAGCGACAUUUCCAAUUUCUCAAGGAAAGGUAUUUUCAGAUUAGUUUUUCUGUUCUAGGCUACAUCACCACUUAUAUCUGCUUUGCAACAGUUUUUGGGCCACGAAAAACAACUGUAUUGGAGUCUGAAGAGACUAAGAGAAACUCUGACCAAUCAAACAGCAUGGCUGCAUACUGUAGAAAUUAAUUGGCACAUAUUUCUCCUAAUAGAUGGGCAGACUGCCAAAAUUAUUUGAAUCAAAGCAGGUUGCUUCUUACAAUUUUAAGCCUGCGGUUUACUUCUUACUUUUGUCCAAGCUUCCACGGGAGCUCUGUAUUCAUGGAGGUUCAGCAAAAAGUAGAGUGGGAUAUAUAUGUGUGGGCAGUGAAUGUAUAAACAUCUAAAGAUUUAGUGGAGUUCACCUUGUGAACAAAGAUGAAACCAAGUCUAGACAUGAAAAUAGAAAGCACAUCAUUCCCAUAACAGAAGCAUCACCAUCUAGGAAACUAAAACACUCACCAUUAGCCUAAUUAAUUUUAGAUUGGGCUCAUACAUUAGCAAACAACUUUGAAGAAAGGGGUCGCGCAUUACAUAAAAUUGCAGAUGAAAAGAAAGAGAAGGAAAGUGACCUUAGAAUUUAUGGAUGAAAAGCUAGCUCCAAUAGUACAGAAUAUUGUUGACUUAUGCAUCUCCAGAAAGGCUGAUCCCCACACUACCCUAUGGCACUUCUCCGUUUCUGAGCCCAUUCAGUGCGUUGAUGUCAGGAAUCAAUCAAUAGAUCUACGUGUUAUUUGAGGCAUAAACUGGGUUACAGACUGAAGGAAUUCUUUCCAAUCGAAUUACCUCUAAUGGUAAUCCCCUCCUAGCACCAGCAGAUCGAGCUACUGGACGCAAGCAUGUGUCAAGGUUUCCUAGUUAAUUUGCUCAACUGCUCAAUUUCAAAAGGGGAUUUGGCUUACAGGGAGUAGCUGGGUGACUUUCAGGUGUGCAGCACGGUACCUUGUUCGUGCUUUGGGCUCGGGGAGGAGGCCGACAGGAGCUUGGGGAGGCCGCCGGCAGCAGGAACUUGGGGGGGCCGGCAACCCGAGGUGAGGUCGAAUUAAAUUUCCGCCUCAUCGCUGCAGGCCUCCCCGCCGUCCCCGGGACAGGCGGCCGUGUCCAGGAGCUACGCCUCAUCGUCAUCCUCCUCCUUGAAGUAAUGUAGCCGAGAUGCACGGAAUCAAGCUGUCGGAGAAGUUGUUGGGGCUCUUGAGAUUGGCGCCGCAGGGGAAGUCGGCAAUGGCAGCGAGUAUGGCGGCUGCUUGGACAAACUUGGCAAGGGAGCAGGUGUGUUGCGAGCUUGCGAGAUUCAGGUGUCGGACGUUGAGGCGAUGCAAGGCCGAUGGCUGCGACCAGGGCGGCGCACGACGCGAGCAGGUGGUGGCGGCACGCAGCGGAGGGGCGGGGCCGGUGGUGGUGGGGCGCUCGAAGUUGAGAUGGGAGGCAAGGUCGUGCCUCGUCCCGUCGUCCGGGUGUUUUUUUUCUUUUUUUUCUGUUCCCCAUACCGCCGAGUUGACUUAACAAUAGGAUUGCGGGUUUAUUCUAGAAAACUCAAGGACUUUUGUAUAAACACGCUGCGACGGUGAACCCGGAGACCCAAUCCGUGCUUUAUUAUUAGGGAGAGACUAGCAAAAAGGGCCCGUGCGUUGCAACGGGAGAAAAUAUCGGUUACUAACCUUAUUUUAAAGGUGAUGGAUCAUAUAUUUAUCUAAGGUAGUUCCUUUACAAGUAAAAAAAGAAACGAAAAGUUAGGCAAUAUAUAGUGUUUGAUGCUUCUCCGCAUAGUACCAUUUCUUAGGAUCCACAAAGUAUUACUAAUAUGUAAGCCGAAAAUAAUGGGAAGUAGAUGCAGCAUAGCAUGACAUACCAGAUGAUUUUGCAAGCACACCACUGAAUAUAUCGAGGACUACUUAAUAUAAGAUCUUCAAAUAGGUACAUGUUUUUUUUGAAUGUCGGCCCUUUAUUGACUAAAAAACAAAGUCAUACAAAGCCUCCUGGAUACACUCCGGAGUAGAAUUGAAAACACAAAGACCAGAAGAGUUAAAACAAGACCUAGCUAAAACAUGAGCCAACACAUUACAUUGCCGACGAACAUGCAAAAACGAAACCGAGGAGAAGCCUAGAGUUGCCAUCUUGAUAUCAUCAAUGACGGAACCAACAACAGAACGAUCGUGGGCUUUGGAUUUCAGCCUUUGCACCAAAGAGAGGCAAUCGGUGGCAAAGAUCACAUGGAAAAGGUGGUCCUCUCGCGCCAUGUCAACUGCUCUGCGAAGAGCCAAAGCUUCGGCCAUCUCGGGUGUGAGAGAACCAGACAACACUUCGGUACAUGCCUUGAUGCAUUGACCCAUAUGGUCCAGAGCUACUACACCAGUCCCAGACUUGUUGAAGUCAUGAAAUGAAGCCGCAUCAGAAAAAAAACAUAACCGUACCGGGAGGCGGUGGAGACCAAUCAUAGCUAGAAGCAAUGGUCUCACAUCUAUUCACAGGAACAGGCUUGUAAAUAUGCUCGAAUAUCAUGUCAACAUAACCACGAAUUUUGCUUGCAGUACUUCGCGGAGUAGGAACUUCAGGAGUAUUUCGAGCCAAAUUUCGAGCAUCCCAGAUGUGCCAAAUGGAUACAUCCAUCACAGUUGCCUCACGAUCUGUGCAACGAGACAAAAAAUCAAAAAGCCACUGUUUUGGAGACCUGAAUUCACGACGGCGCAGCUGGACAUGAAAGAAAUUCUUCACUUCAUCCCACACAUUUCUUGCAUAAUGGCAGAAGAGCAAAGCAUGCUCGAUACUCUCUAUUCGGCCGCAGAAAGCACAUGCAGUAGGAGCAGGAACAUUGCGUCUACAAAGCUGUUCCCCGGAAGGCAAACAGUUAUGCGCAAGACGCCAUAAGACGAUCUUCAUCUUGUUAGGAGCAAUAACGGACCAUACAGAUUUCCAGUCCUUCUCCUCCGCCGCUCUGUUAGAAGAUUGGCCACGACCAUUACUACUAAUACUUGCCAUGAAGCUUUUCGACCGAGCCAUGUUGUAUGCCGAACGAAUGGAAUAAUGCCCUAACCUGGUAAUAGGCCAGUAUGCCAAAUCUGAACCACCAUGCCUUUUGAUAGGAACCUGCAGGAUCGCUGCAGCAAUGUCCGGCUCGAAGAACGCUUGCACAGUCUGAUCGUUCCAAGAACCAGUAUCUUCGUCCAACAGACAAUGAAUUGUGGCUGUUUCCGGGAUUGGUAAGGUUGUCCUAACCAUGCCAGGAGGAAACGAAGGGAUCCAAUAAUCAGACAAUAUAUGGGUGCCUUUACCAUCACCAAUCCUCCAGCAAAUCCCUUGCUUCAGAAGUUCCCGACCAUAAAGGAUGCUUCGCCAUGUAACUGAUGCGGACCGAGGAGCUGUAGCAUUCCAAAAGUCUCCAUGAGGGAAAUAUCUUCCUUUGAGAACCCGAGCACAUAAUGAAUCUGGUUCUGUAAGUAAGCGCCAUCCUUGCUUCCCAAGCAUAGCUUGAUUAAAAAGUGUCAUAUCACGAAAGCCCAUUCCCCCGAGAGAUUUUGGCGUAGUGAGCCACUUCCAGGACCGCCAGUGCAGCUUCUUCUUCCCAUCUUCCCUUCCCCACCAAUGGUCUGAGAUAAUCUGGCGGAACUUCUCACACGUGGCCACCGGAAGCUGAAAACAGCUCAUAAUGAAAGUCGGAAUCGCCUGGAUAAUUGAUUUUAGCAAAACUUCCAACCCUGCUCUGGAUAAAGGCCUAUCAGACCAACCAUGUAUACGCUGCCAAGCCCUAUCCGGAAGAAAUUUAAAAGUACUUGUAGGAGACCGUCCAACUACAGUAGGCAUGCCAAGAUAGGAACCAUGGAAAGUUUCAUUUGUGAUUCCAAAACUUGCCAUGACACGGUUCUUAACACUGACAGGACACCUGUUGCCAAAAAUUAUCGAGGACUUGUCCUUAUUGAUAAGUUGUCCCGAUCCUUCACAAAAUAGCUUCAGAAUGGAAUCCAAAGAGGCCACACUACGGAUGUCACUUCUGGCAAAGAAAAUGCUGUCGUCGGCAAACAGGAGAUGUGAGAUAGGUGGGCCAGAGCGACCGUUGCGGAUGCCAUGUAGCUCGCCACAAUUCUCCUUCUGUAACAACAGACUCGACAAUCCUUCUGUGCACAAAAGAAACAGGUAGGGGCUAAUUGGGUCCCCCUGACGAAUACCACGCGAAGGAACCACAGGUUCAGUGAGCUCACCAUUAACCCUGACUGCAUACCGGACAUUGGUGACACACCUCAUGACUGACUCAAUCCAUGCCGGAGCAAAACCAAGCCGGCACAAGCAGCCCUGAAGAUAACUUCACUCAAUACGAUCAUAUGCCUUCAUCAAAUCAAUCUUCAGGGCAAAGAAAGGUUGCUUCGCCUUUUGUUGUCUAAUAGUAUGCAUACAUUCAUAUGCAAUAAGAGUGUUGUCGGUGAUCAAUCUACCCGGCACAAAAGCACUCUGGCACUCCGACACCACAACAGAGAGAAACACCUUUAGACGGUUAGCCAAAGCCUUGGAAGCAAUCUUGUACAGAACAUUGCAUAGACUAAUAGGACGGAAAUUCUUUAGCUGAUUUGGCCUGGCAACCUUGGGGUUUUGUGACUCUGUGAUAGUUCAAAUAGGUACAUGUUUAUGAUGAACACUCUGAAGCUAUUUCGUGUAGUCUUCAAAGGAUUUCAAAAAAGUUUUUGCUUGAUGUCAAAGAUGAAUAAUUUGAACAUAUACUAAUUUUUCCAAUAAUUAAACUAUUAAAGCAAGGAAAUGGUACAUAUGUUCACCCUCAAAAAAUGAGACAUAGGUUCAUCCUUCAUACAACCACAACUUGAAGGCUGCAGAGCGAGGCGGCAAAACCUGUAAGAUGCAGCCAUGUGAAACACGAUAGAACUGCCAC
rnacentral:lncRNA from 1 species